GUUCUAUGAAGGUGACAGAAGGACCUGUUUGCAGAGACUGUCAUUCACCUCCAUAAUGAGUACUCUAUACCAAACCUAUCUACCUACUGCCAACCACACAGAAGCAGCAGCAGGUGCUGGUGUGAGUCUCCAGCAAGUCCUCACUAGAGAGCUGAUGGUAACCCCUGAACAGAGGAGCUAAAGCUUAUAGAGCACUUUCUCUAAUGUUGUUUCAUCGACUCUAUGAUGAUGGAGUGGAGGUGAUUAAUUAAGACUGGAGAUGCUGUGCCAUCAAAGCCCAAAGAGCUUCCUUUGGCUCCAAUGCUACCUGAGUAAAGCAGAAAUAGCAUCAGAAAUGAAUGCUUAUACCCUGCAUUCCCCUUAAUGCAUGCUACCUUCCAGAUAAAGUAAAAGCAUCCUCCUUUCA